AUGUUGCUAAAGUGGUCUGGCGUUCGAUAGGGGUCACCCUCGGGACAGACUUGUGUCCUCAUAAUUACUGGCAGUUUUUUGUUUGGUGUCACUCUUUCUUGCUAGGUUAUGAAUCUUUUUAUACUGUGGCGCUGGGAGUAGUUACUUGGGCUAUCUGGCUCGCUCGUAACAAAGCCACCUUUGAGAAGAAAAUCAUCAAAACUCCUUUUGAGAUCAUUUUUAUGGUGGUUUAUUUCCUCUUAUAUCAGGCAGGUCUACAAAUGGGAGACGACGUCAAGCAACUUCGAGCGGGUGCAGAGAUGAUCCACAGUGGGACAUUGCUGCUGAUGAGGGCAUGUGAGGCGUCCAAGGGCGGAAAGUGA
rnacentral:rRNA from 1 species